CUCCAGGAAGCUAUGCAUGUUCAACGUGCAGCUCUUCUCCAGGAAGCUAUGCAUGUUCAACGUGCAGCUCUUCUCCAGGAAGCUAUGCAUGUUCAACGUGCAGCUCUUCUCCAGGAAGCUAUGCAUAUUCAACGUGCAGCUCUUCCGUCUGGAUGGCACAGAGGAUCUGGGUGGCAAGGCAGGGUCACCACCCCCACCCUGUGUCAUGAGACCUCCUGCUCCUCUUAGGGCCCAGGGGCAUGGGACUCUGCCUGUUGAUCCUGAUUCCUCGACCACCAGGAAGGGCCCCGACGUGGGGAUGUCAACAUGGCUCAGACUUGAUGUGGAUCGUGAUCAUUUCGGGAAAUGUGUUACUCCAAAAACUUUUAUAAUCUUUGCUUAAUUUGUUUUUAAAUACUUUCCUGGCUGGGCGUGGUGGCUUAUGCCUGUAAUCCCAGCACUUUGGGAGGCCGAGGCGGGUGGAUCACCUGAGGUCAGGAGUUCAAGACCAGCCUGGC
rnacentral:lncRNA from 1 species